rnacentral:misc_RNA from 1 species
GAAAUGCGAUAAGUAAUGUGAAUUGCAGAAUUCAGUGGAUCAUCGAAUCUUUGAACGCACCUUGCGCUCCUUGGUAUUCCUUGGAGCAUGCCUGUUUGAGUAUCAUGAAAUCUUCAAAGUAAAUCUUUUGUUAACUCAAUUGGCUUCUACUUUGGUAUUGGAGGUCUUUGCAGCUUCACACCUGCUCCUCUUUGUUCAUUAGCUGGAUCUCAGUGUUAUGCUUGGUUCCACUCGGCGUGAUAAGUUAUCUAUCGCUGAGGACACUGUAAAAGGUGGCCAAGGUAAAUGCAGAUGAACCGCUUCUAAUAGUCCAUUGACUUGGACAAUACUUUUAUGAUCUGAUCUCAAAUCAGGUAGGACUACCCGCUGAACUUAAGC